GUAGAGUUUCACGGCAUAGCUCGGUUUGCAGUGUUCUGGCUGUUAAAGCUGCAUUUAACUGAGUGAACUAUUCAGACCGACAUGGAAGACGACGAAAUAGAAGCCGAGAGCCGUUCAGACAGUCGUGCGGGAGCUGAAGAUUCAAAUGGAGAGGCAGCUGGGAGGAAACCAAAACUUUCCAGGAAAAACAUUUUUACUCUGGUCUCUGCUGCAUCUGUAAAUUUUAGCUCAAUGAUUUGUUAUUCAAUACUAGGCCCAUUUUUCCCCACAGAGGCUGAGAAAAAAGGUGUUAAUCAGACUGUAACUGGAUUGAUAUUUGGAUGCUAUGCCUUGUGUACCCUGUUGGGAUCCUUAGUACUCGGAAAAUAUAUUGUUCAGAUAGGAGCAAAAUUUAUGCUUUGUGCUGGAUUGUUUUUAUCUGGAGGAUGUACAGUUCUUUUCGGUCUACUUGAUAGAGUGCCACAUGGAGUACCUUUUAUAUUGAUGUGCUUUAUAGUAAGAUCCAUUGAUGCUGUUGGCUUUGCUGCUGCAAUGACCUCAUCUUUUGCCAUCAUUGCCAAGGCUUUUCCGAAUAAUAUAGCAACAGUAUUGGGAAUCUUGGAGAUUUUUACGGGUCUUGGACUUGUACUGGGACCUCCAUUAGGUGGUUUCCUUUACCAGUCCUUUGGUUACGAGAUUCCAUUCAUUGUGCUGGGAUUUGUUCUCAUAUUGAUGGUGCCUCUGAACAUUUAUGUUUUGCCAUCCUAUGAUGCUACACCUAGCAAAGAUUCUUUUUGGAGGCUCUUUACCCUGCCUAAAAUUUCACUUCUUUGUUUUUUGAUUUUUUCCAUGAGCUCAUGUUUUGGUUUUCUGGACCCAACUAUGUCACUUUUUGUCAUUGAAAAGUUCCAUUUGCCUACUGGGUAUGUCGGACUUGUAUUCCUUGUUUUGGCAUUGUUUAACUCUUUGUCUUCACCUUUGCUGGGCAUUGUUAGUGAUAAAAUGCCUAAUACUAGAAGGUGGCUUAUGGUGAUUGGUGGCAUCACAGCAGCACUUGGCUAUUGUUUUCUGGGACCUGCUCCAUUUCUUCAUUUAAAAAGCCAGCUAUGGUUGUUUGUCUUCAUGCUGGCCCUCACAGGGUUUUCCAGUGGUAUGACAUGCAUCCCUACCCUUCCAGAAAUCGUCAAGUGUGCGUAUGAAAAUGGAUUUGAAGAUGACUUAAGCACUCUGGGCCUUGUAUCUGGUCUGUAUGGUGCAGUAUGGUCUUUUGGGACUUUCUUUGGCCCAACUGUUGGAGGAUUUCUGGUUGAAAAGUUCAGUUUUGAGUGGGCUGCAGCUGCUCAAGGAGGUCUUAUUUUUAUAUCGGUGCUUUUUUUAGGAAUCUACUACUUUGUAGAGCCUUGCUUCAGGAGACCUGCCACUACAAGUGUUGAAGAAAAUGAAGAAAGAGCACCUUUACUUUCCAAUCACAUUUAAUUUUUAUAACAAUUGUGAUAUUAUAGUUACAAUUAGGUAAUUUAAUUAGUUUUCAGUUUAUUUUAAUGUGAUUGCGUUUCUGAACCAAGUAAGAAUGAAAAAGAUUGUCAAAUAAGGACAAAGAAAUAUCUGUGUGUAGUAGGUCCAUACUAUAUGUAAAAUGUUAAAAAGAAUGAACCUGGUAAAAAUCAUGCUGUCUGAAAUGAUGUGGAAAACAGAAUUUAAAAAGCUGUCAAUAUAGCACAAACCAACUAAAUAACAUUUCAAAGUAUUAUAUAAAUGUAGCUGAAAGGACAAACAAAAAACUAGCAAACAACUUUGACUGUAAUAUUCUAAAAAGCUAUCUGAUUUGAUCAAGACAAUGCAAAACCUGCAUGCACGUAGUCUAAGGAUCAGUAUUUCCUGUGGAAGACUGAAUAUACUGUAAAUAAUGCAAUGGAGAGCAUUACUAACUGUUUUUAAAUAUAGGAGAGCUGCAGGAUUUUACUAGAGUGCUCCAUAAUAAUAAUAAUAAUAAUGUAAAUAGGCAUUUUUAAUAUAUGUAUUUACUGUAUAUUUAUAGGGAUGGUACUACUCAAGAAUUAUAUUUAUUUUAGGCAAUGUUGCUUAAAUUUAAAAUGUGACAUUGAGCUCAUCCUGCAUUCUGCUUAAGAAUGCACAAUGAAUGACUUAUCUAGUGCUGACAUGUUUAUUGAAUGUAUUUUUUAAUGUAAAUCAUUUUCUUACAACAUCAGCUGCUAUCUUAACUUUUCAUAGCUGGAAAGAUUACAAUAUGCAAGCUUUCGAGGCAACUCAGGCCCCUUCUUCAGGCAAGAUGUAAUCAAUAAAAGGUGUCAUUUUGCUUGGCUUUUCUCUACAUUCAUAAUGGCUAACACGGUACAGCACCCUAGUACUACAUAGCUGGAAAGAAAACAUUUAAUUACUAAAAUGGACAAAUGCCAUUCCUAGUUCCAUGACUGACUCAAGAAGGUAUUUUCUUGUCAUAUCAUUUAUACAUUUUUGGAACAGAAAUAUAGCAGUUAUUAUUUGUUAUCAUUAGGCUUUCCAAGACCAUAUACUGUUCAGUGCAGGAGGAGCUUUGUAUGCUUUCAGAUUUCUUCCUUUAAGCUUGGUGAACACUCAACAUGUAGUCAUGUCCGAGGAUAUCCAUAACAUACUUCUCAUUACUUAUAAUAAGAAGCACAUAAAUGCCAUGGGCUGGUGACCACAACAGGCAGCUGUGUAAAAGAUGUUUUGUCAUGUGUGAUCAAUAAUCCGCAUUCAAAUCCUGUCAUGUGUAUGUUCAUAAUCUCACAAAUUAGCAUCAUGGUACCUCAGAGUAGCUCACAGUUCCUAAUGUGAACUGAGCUCCCAAGUCAUCCACUUAUCCGAGAGUCACAACCAUCAUCUGACCAUCAUCUCUCAGCAUUCUGAGAAGCUAUUGGAUGUUUCUACUUAUAUACAGAUGCACAAUAACUUUGUUGUUACAACACCAAAACUAAACUUCGCUGUUUACUUAUGAGACAUAUUAUUCUUAUGUAGUGCCUUACUGUUUAUACAAGUCAGCUUAAUGAAAACUAGAUAAUAUCAUGGUGCAUUUAUCUUUGUAAUUGAAAGUUAAUUAUUUAUGUAAAGAAUAAUGGAAAAUAUCAGUCUUUUAACUAAAGUUUUAUACUAAAAAAUGUUUACAUUUGAAAUUUCUGAAGCAAAGGUUCUCUUUUCAGUGUACACCAUAUUAGAACAUUUUAAUAUAGUAGUGUUAAGUAAGAGUGCUGCAGAUAUGUAGCAGGUCCAGAAAUUACAUGCUAGUUUGACAGUUCUGUGUAACCCAAAGGUGAGCCUGAUGUAUGAGUCAAUGAAACCUUAUUUGAUCUGUUUGUAUUGUAACAGAUCGGCUGUAUGCCCAUCGCAGCUCCAUCCCCUAUUGUCUCGGACCACCAAGCCCCACUGUGAUAUGGCAAAAAGAUUCACUUGAAGCCUCACAAGAGGGUCUGGAAAGUGCAGCUCAGCAGGAGGCUGGUGUGGCAUACACUGUGUGCAGUAGAAUUGCCCAUAACCUGGACACAAAGUACCAUUUUAAAUAAUAAAAUCUUGUAAUGCAAAGAAUUCACAUAUUUAGAAGUCAAGAGAUUAUACAGUAUGGGAGGAGCGCACUGCCACAUUGCUUUCCUCAUGUCUUUCCAAGCAGAUAGUGGAAAUAAGGUGGCUCUGCUAGAAACUGCUGUAUCCUCAGAAAUGCGUCCGGACUUGGCAGACGAUGUGGUCAAGCACUAGUUAAAACACGUGUGGGCCAAGUGGCCUUUUAUACAUGUAUGAGAGGACACCACAGAUCCUUACAGCCGCACAAUUCACAUUUAUGGACCUGCUACACAUACUGUAUAUUUGGCUUUUUUUUUUUUUUUUUGCCUCAUCUUAUGCACUUUCACUUUUUGUUGUUUAUUCAAUUUCUUCAUUAUUUAUCUCAAAAUCUCAAAGCACAGUUUCAGUAGGAAAUUAAUGACAAAGUUUACAAAAUAUGAAAUAAAAGCGAUGUACUAAGUGGAAGUAUAGUGUCUGACUCAGUUAUAAUUUCUAUCGAGAGUAAUGCACUUAGUUCAAUGUGUAACAUUAUUUAAUCUUUUAAAGAUUAGCCCGUGUAUAUUGUGAAUAUAAAUGGAGACCCAUUCCAUAUGAAAUGCAUUUUUUUGUUUCUUGAUUUCUAAUCGUUAGUAUUUUCACUGUUGAUAUAAACUGAUUUUUUCUAUCUAAUG